AUACUUGCCUGCUGCCGGGGCCUCGUCGAUCACCGAGGACGAGCACCCAGGGCGAUGCGCGGGCAUUGCAUUGCACUGCGCUUGCGUUGACCCCUGCCACUACCCCAAACUGAGGCAGACGGGGCAUGCAAAUUGC
rnacentral:snRNA from 1 species